GAUGAACGCUGGCGGCGUGCCUAAUACAUGCAAGUCGAGCGAACAGACGAGGAGCUUGCUCCUCUGACGUUAGCGGCGGACGGGUGAGUAACACGUGGAUAACCUACCUAUAAGACUGGGAUAACUUCGGGAAACCGGAGCUAAUACCGGAUAAUAUAUUGAACCGCAUGGUUCAAUAGUGAAAGACGGUUUUGCUGUCACUUAUAGAUGGAUCCGCGCCGCAUUAGCUAGUUGGUAAGGUAACGGCUUACCAAGGCAACGAUGCGUAGCCGACCUGAGAGGGUGAUCGGCCACACUGGAACUGAGACACGGUCCAGACUCCUACGGGAGGCAGCAGUAGGGAAUCUGCCGCAUGGGCGAAAGCCUGACGGAGCAACGCCGCGUGAGUGAUGAAGGUCUUCGGAUCGUAAAACUCUGUUAUUAGGGAAGAACAAAUGUGUAAGUAACUAUGCACGUCUUGACGGUACCUAAUCAGAAAGCCACGGCUAACUACGUG
rnacentral:rRNA from 1 species